rnacentral:rRNA from 1 species
AGAGUUUGAUCAUGGCUCAGAUUGAAUGCUGGCGGCAGGCCUAACACAUGCAAGUCGAACGGUAACAGGAAGAAGCUUGCUUCUUUGCUGACGAGUGGCGGACGGGUGAGUAAUGUCUGGGAAACUGCCUGAUGGAGGGGGAUAACUACUGGAAACGGUAGCUAAUACCGCAUAACGUCGCAAGACCAAAGAGGGGGACCUUCGGGCCUCUUGCCAUCGGAUGUGCCCAGAUGGGAUUAGCUAGUAGGUGGGGUAACGGCUCACCUAGGCGACGAUCCCUAGCUGGUCUGAGAGGAUGACCAGCCACACUGGAACUGAGACACGGUCCAGACUCCUACGGGAGGCAGCAGUGGGGAAUAUUGCACAAUGGGCGCAAGCCUGAUGCAGCCAUGCCGCGUGUAUGAAGAAGGCCUUCGGGUUGUAAAGUACUUUCAGCGGGGAGGAAGGGAGUAAAGUUAAUACCUUUGCUCAUUGACGUUACCCGCAGAAGAAGCACCGGCUAACUCCGUGCCAGCAGCCGCGGUAAUACGGAAGGUGCAAGCGUUAAUCGGAAUUACUGGGCGUAAAGCGCACGCAGGCGGUUUGUUAAGUCAGAUGUGAAAUCCCCGGGCUCAACCUGGGAACUGCAUCUGAUACUGGCAAGCUUGAGUCUCGUAGAGGGGGGUAGAAUUCCAGGUGUAGCGGUGAAAUGCGUAGAGAUCUGGAGGAAUACCGGUGGCGAAGCGGCCCCUGGACGAAGACUGACGCUCAGUGCGAAGCGUGGGGAGCAAACAGGAUAGAUACCCUGGUAGUCCACGCCGUAAACGAUGUCGACUUGGAAGUUGUGCCCUUGAGGCNNGGCUUNNNGCUACGCGUUAGUCGACC